rnacentral:rRNA from 1 species
UACGUAGGUGGCAAGCGUUGUCCGGAUUUACUGGGCGUAAAGAGCGCGCAGGCGGUCGUUCAAGUCGCGUGUGAAAGCCCCCCGGCUCAACUGGGGAGGGUCACGCGAUACUGAUCGACUCGAAGGCAGGAGAGGGAAGUGGAAUUCCCGGUGUAGUGGUGAAAUGCGUAGAUAUCGGGAGGAACACCAGUGGCGAAGGCGACUUCCUGGCCUGUUCUUGACGCUGAGGCGCGAAGGCUAGGGGAGCAAACGGG